GGACUACUCCCAAGAUCCUGAAAGCUCUUCCAGUCUCCGCUAGCCAGAAUUCGGCCUCUUCAAAAGAGGAUCCCCCUGCAAAGGUGGAGGGGUUCAGUCUCCUGUACCUCUCUAUGUAGCCCGGGUCGAUCAAGGAAGGAGCGGAGUCCCGUGGAGGAGGGACUAGACCCGGCUGGGGAUAGACUGGGGGGUCCUGUGGUGGCACCU
rnacentral:lncRNA from 1 species